UCCCGUGUGGCUCAGUUGGUAGAGCAUGGUGUUUGCAAUGCCAGGGUUGUGGGUUCGAUUCCCACAGGGGGAC
rfam:Salmo salar isolate Sally breed double haploid chromosome ssa29, whole genome shotgun sequence.